rnacentral:SRP_RNA from 1 species
GUCGAGCUAAGUAACGAGAGCUUGUGGCCCGAGUGGGGACAAUAAGAUGAUGGGACACUGGUUCGGGUCCACGGGUCGGGUCUGGCUUUGGCAAGAUUCUGAGCUGCCCAGUCCAAGCUGAGAGUAGUUCGUGUGGCUCGAGCGAAAGCUUGAGUCAGGCGGAUUCUAAAGUCGGAGGGUAAUGCGUGAGGCUGGUUUCACAGAGCAGCGACUACUUCCCGCUCUCAGCAGUGGACGGAUCACGGCUCGGCGCCUCCCAGUUCCACUAUGGCCUGCUGGUUCGUCCUCGGUUGGACCAUCAUUUUU